AUUGAACGCUGGCGGCAGGCCUAACACAUGCAAGUCGAGCGGAUGAGAGGAGCUUGCUUCUCGAUUCAGCGGCGGACGGGUGAGUAAUGCCUAGGAAUCUGCCUGGUAGUGGGGGACAACGUUUCGAAAGGAACGCUAAUACCGCAUACGUCCUACGGGAGAAAGCAGGGGACCUUCGGGCCUUGCGCUAUCAGAUGAGCCUAGGUCGGAUUAGCUAGUUGGUGAGGUAAUGGCGCACCAAGGCGACGAUCCGUAACUGGUCUGAGAGGAGGAUCAGUCACACUGGAACUGAGACACGGUCCAGACGCCUACGGGAGGCAGCAGUGGGGAAUAUUGGACAAUGGGCGAAAGCCUGAUCCAGCCAUGCCGCGUGUGUGAAGAAGGUCUUCGGAUUGUAAAGCACUUUAAGUUGGGAGGAAGGGUUGUAGAUUAAUACUCUGCAAUUUUGACGUUACCGACAGAAUAAGCACCGGCUAACUCUGUGCCAGCCGCCGCCGUAAUAC
rnacentral:rRNA from 1 species